AAUCAAAAUGUUAAAAAGGUUUUAUGCCCCAUUUCACGUGGAAGCGUCGACUCCAGAUGGGAAAAUGAGGUAACGCAACCAAAGGUAUCUUAUCGGUGAGGGGAGAAGGCGAAUUUCUGCGUAUUUUCUUGAACGCAGGAGCCGAGAAAAAUGGAUAUGAAUAAAAGUGAUUUGAAAGUGAAUUACUGGAGUGAGCCUAUACCUUUAAAAAUUGUUUUGAGAGAAUUGAAAUAAUGUCAAUUAUUUGUUUGUUUGUUUGAUUAUAUGCAUAUUUAUACUAGCGCACAAAUAAACUUAAAGACCAGCUGUAGAUGGAAACAUAAA